rnacentral:rRNA from 1 species
GAUGAACGCUGGCGGCGUGCCUAAUACAUGCAAGUCGAGCGAACAGAUAAGGAGCUUGCUCCUUUGAAGUUAGCGGCGGACGGGUGAGUAACACGUGGGUAACCUACCUAUAAGACUGGGAUAACUUCGGGAAACCGGAGCUAAUACCGGAUAACAUCUAGAACCGCAUGGUUCUAAAGUGAAAGAUGGUUUUGCUAUCACUUAUAGAUGGACCCGCGCCGUAUUAGCUAGUUGGUAAGGUAACGGCUUACCAAGGCGACGAUACGUAGCCGACCUGAGAGGGUGAUCGGCCACACUGGAACUGAGACACGGUCCAGACUCCUACGGGAGGCAGCAGUAGGGAAUCUUCCGCAGUGGGCGAAAGCCUGCCGGAGCAACGCCGCGUGAGUGAUGAAGAGUUUCGGCUCGUAAAACUCUGUUAUUAGGGAAGAACAAAUGUGUAAGUAACUGUGCACAGCUUGACGGUACCUAGUCAGAAAGCCACGGCUAACUACGUG